rnacentral:misc_RNA from 1 species
AAGUCGUAACAAGGUCUCCGUAGGUGAACCUGCGGAGGGAUCAUUACUGAAUGGCCCUUUGGGCCUUCAACCUUCAAAAACAUGUGGAAGCAAGAUGUGCUUCGGUGCCUCUGGUGCCGCCUUUAUGCAGUGAAGCCUUAUUUGUCUGAACCAAAAUCAAAAAGUUAAAACUUUCAACAAAGGAUCUCUUGGCUCUC